rnacentral:rRNA from 1 species
GAUGAACGCUGGCGGCGUGCCUAAUACAUGCAAGUCGAGCGAACGGACGAGAAGCUUGCUUCUCUGAUGUUAGCGGCGGACGGGUGAGUAACACGUGGAUAACCUACCUAUAAGACUGGGAUAACUUCGGGAAACCGGAGCUAAUACCGGAUGAUAUUUUGAACCGCAUGGUUCAAAAGUGAAAGACGGUCUUGCUGUCACUUAUAGAUGGAUCCGCGCUGCAUUAGCUAGUUGGUAAGGUAACGGCUUACCAAGGCAACGAUGCAUAGCCGACCUGGGAGGGUGAUCGGCCACACUGGAACUGAGACACGGUCCAGACUCCUACGGGAGGCAGCAGUAGGGAAUCUUCCGCAAUGGGCGAAAGCCUGACGGAGCAACGCCGCGUGAGUGAUGAAGGUCUUCGGAUCGUAAAACUCUGUUAUUAGGGAAGAACAUAUGUGUAAGUAACUGUGCACAUCUUGACGUUACCUAAUCAGAAAGCCACGGCUAACUACGUG